UAGGGAAUCUUCCACAAUGGGCGAAAGCCUGAUGGAGCAGCGCCGCGUGUGUGAUGAAGGGUUUCGGCUCGUAAAACACUGUUGUAAGAGAAGAAUGACAUUGAGAGUAACUGUUCAAUGUGUGACGGUAUCUUACCAGAAAGGAACGGCUAAAUACGUGUCAG
rnacentral:rRNA from 1 species